AUGAAUAUCCUCGUAUGGAACUGUUGGGGGUUGGGGUUGGACCCGACAGUGGGCGAAUUGAGGGACCUCAUACGGUCAUACAACCCAGCGGUGGUGUUUGUGAGCGAGACAAAGAAGUCGGCGAGAGCCAUGGAUAAAGUUAAAUGGAGUUUGGGAUUUCGGAAUGGUGUUGCAGUGGGUUGUGCGGGGAGGAGUGGAGGCCUAGCUUUA
rnacentral:rRNA from 1 species